rnacentral:rRNA from 1 species
CGUAUAUUAAAGUUGUUGCAGUUAAAAAGCUCGUAGUUGGAUUUCUGGUAGGAGCGACCGGUCGGGCAUUGAUUUGUCUGCACUGGAGUCGGUUCUUGCCAUCCUCUUGGAAAGUGCGUAUGGCAUUAAGUUGUCGUGCGUACGAUCCAGGUCUUUUACUGUGAAAAAAUUAGAGUGUCUAAAGCAGGCCUUCGCCUUGAAUACAUUAGCAUGGAAUAAUAAGAUAGGACCUUGGUGCUAUUUUGUUGGUUUGCGUACCGAGGUAAUGAUUAAUAGGGACAGUUGGGGGUAUUUGUAUUCCAUUGUCAGAGGUGAAAUUCUUGGAUUUAUGGAAGACAAACUACUGCGAAAGCAUUUACCAAGGAUGUUUUCAUUAAUCAAGAACGAAAGUUAGGGGAUCGAAGAUGAUUAGAUACCAUCGUAGUCUUAACCAUAAACUAUGCCGACUAGGGAUUGGCGGUCGUUUUAUUGACUCCGUCAGCACCUUAUGAGAAAUCAAAGUCUUUGGGUUCCGGGGGGAGUAUGGUCGCAAGGCUGAAACUUAAAGAAA